rnacentral:other from 1 species
CAUCCCCUGCUGUGUACGAGAGUGGCUUAGAUCUCCUUGAGCCUAAUCACCAAUCCAGGGGACCAAUGCUGAUACUGUGUGCAUGUCCGCCACGUACGGAAAGCCUUAUGUAUCACUGCCGUCCCCGUCUUGAACCUCUGGUUCAAGGGCAACAGCCGCAACGGCACAAGUGGAGGAUGC